GGAAAAGCUACAUAUUCUAAGAAGAAGAAAAGCUAGGUAGGCUAACAAACCAUUUAUUUCUACACAGGUGCUGUCUCUGGUCAAAAAGGCUGAAGAGGUCGCUUUUCUGCUCUGACUUCCUCCUGUGAAUAUGUAACCAAGCUUCUCUGCACAUUCCACAAAGCAGCAGAAAUGGAGGGACAAUAAAAUCACAGCUCAGUGCAGCAUAUUCAUCAUGUAAUAUCUCUGAUCCUUUCCUGGAACCGGUAAGAGAAAUGGGGUAUAUCCCACUGAAUCCAAAAUGUGGUUGUACUCAUAUUACGUGCGCAAUGGUUAUGAAAGGCAGAUCUUAAAGCAAAUCAGUAAAUUCAUAUUAAUUUUAGUGGGCUUUUGACCAGCCCUAAGCUGAAGCCUGUGGCUUUCAGGAAUUUGAUAUCUACAUUUUUAUUUUGCUUUUAAACAAUUCCAAGACUCCCAGCUUUCAUUUCUUAUAUUACAGCAACCUUUCUCAGGAGUAUUUUCUCAUGCCAUGCAAGCUAGUAGGUGACUGGAGUUUCAGAAGCAGAUGAAAGAGAGCUUUAUCCGCUUUCUUCCUAAAGGAGGUAUUUCUUAACUGACCUGGUCUUGAAGAAACAUUCAGCUCUGGGUUGUUUGUGUUUGUGGAGCAGAGUGAUCAUACUUUAUGUGACAGCUGGCAGUAAAAUACUAUGUGAUAUCUUCAAUUUUCGUCUUAUUCAAUAAAUAGAUUAGUAUAGAGUUAAAUACAUAACUUAAAUAUUGCAGGAUCUAUUAGGUAAAUCUCUGACAGACAAGACAGCAUGCUUUACACCAAAGAGAUUCACCUGACCAGACUUUUAUGGUAUUGGUUUCACGUUGAGAAAUUUAGCUUUCUGAAACAACUGGCAAGUGAUGCUGGAGCUGCUCAAGUUGCAGUAAGAAUUGAAGAAUUAUCAUUUGGAAGGCAUCACCAACACAUUCUCUUUUGGCAUAACCUGUAAGUUACAGUAAUUUAGGGUUCUUACGAGAUUUUCAUACCCUGUGACACUGAAUAUAAUUCCACACUGUGUUAAUGAAGGUCAAUGUUCAUGGAGUUACGUGGUUAGAGUAAUGGAAUUAAUAGUACUUCAGUAUUGUAUUUCACACACAAAUAGCUGUAACACUCAGCUCUCACACAUUGCAAUGUGUAGCUGGCAUCCAUAGCCUCUGUUUUCAGAAAUUAGGGGGAACUGAGUAGUCAAGAUCCCAUGAUCUUUCUGUAGGAAAGUCAAAUGCAGAUUUUGGCUCAACUGAGUCCUAGUGCAGGAACCACUGCAGAGCAUUGCUUCUCUGGGUUUAAGGAAUAUGUAUGACCUGUAUGUUUUUCCUCACUCAAGGAUAAUUGCUGAACUUUCUCAGCAUGGCUGAAGAUGAUGGACAUAAAAAGGUGCAGGUUUGGACUGGUAACAAAGAUCUGUACUGGUUUUGUUUGCAUAUAAAGAAUGCAUGCAUAGA